rnacentral:rRNA from 1 species
UACGUAGGCGGUCUAUUAAGUUGAAGGUAAAAGCCCAGAGCUCAACUCUGGAAAACCCUUCAAAACUGAUAUGACUAGAGUACGAGAGAGGAUAGUAGAAUUUCUAGUGUAGGGAUGAAAUAUGAAAAAGAUUAGAAGGAAUACCAAAGGCGAAGGCAACUAUCUGGAUCGCUACUGACGCUGAGGUACGAAAGUAUGGGGAGCAAACAGGGAUUAGAGACCCUGGUAGUCCAUAGCUGUCAACGAUGAGUGUUAAAUGUUGGAUUAUUCCAGUGUUACAGCUAACGCGUUAAACACUCCGCCUGGGGAAUACGGGCCGCAAGGUUGAA